rnacentral:rRNA from 1 species
CCUGCACGAAGUCGGAAUUGCUAGUAAUCGCAGAUCAGCAUGCUGCGGUGAAUACGUUCCCGGGCCUUGUACACACCGCCCGUCACACCAUGAGAGUUGGGAAUACCCGAAGCCUGUGAGCUAACUUUAAGAGGCAGCAGUCGAAGGUAGAAUCAAUGAUUGGGGUGAAGUCGUAACAAGGUACC